UUUGCAUUUGUCCUCAUCUUUGCUAUCCUACGCAUGCAGCUCAGGGAUCAAGCAGCAGCUUUGUGGAUCCUCACCUGGGCUCUUCCUGGAGAACCCUGUGUUGGGUGCACAGUAUCAGGAGAUGGUAGGAUUGCAUAGGCACUUGUGGAAUGAUGGAGUGGAAUCUCAGGUGUGACUAUGAGAGGCAUCAGUGAUAAAGUCCCCUCCCAGUGGGGCUGCGGCCAUGCUGAGCUGAGCUCUGUCUUCUCUGUGGAUUCACAGUCCCAGGCUCGUGACCACGAAGAGGACCUGGUGAGGGUCAGAGAUGGGGACUCACUGAGCCAGGUGCUUCUUCACCCACCUCACUUCAGGUGCGCUUUGGAGCAAUGCAGUGGUUUGAGACAUAGUAACUGAAGAUAUGGACACUAAAUCCCUCCAUAUUUCUAUACAGUGAAAAAUCAAUAAUGGUAAUUGGAAUCUCUGUCUCCCUCAGCCCUGAUUUAUCCUUCCUCUUUGUGGUUUAUACUUUCCAUGUAUGAACCAUAAAACUGUAAUGGAGAAACAUUUUUGCCUAUGAGGAGCAAAGAGAGCUGCUUUGCUGAAUGACUGUGAGUAAAUGAGGAUUCUUUGAAGAAGUGCAGGGCUUCUGUUCCUCCGUGUUGUGGGCAGCACACGCCUGCCCUAUUCGUCUUCGUCAUGGCUGCACCUGUGCUACAGAAUGCUCAUAGACUAGUGCUGCCCAUGCAGGGAGCCCAGAGGCUGCACUUUCUCAGUUUACCUCAUGGCUUCAGAGUGACAUGAGGCAUUGAAAUAAGUGAGCAUUGAAUCUGAGGGCUCAGGAGCCACCUUCUACCUUUGCUCCUUUGGUGACAUGCUAGAUGCCCUCUGGUAAGUCAGUUAAAUUCUUUGGGCCUCCUCUGAAAAUUGGAUCCAAUGAGGCCAACACUUCCUGUUUCACAGGGUUACAUGGGGCUCACAUGCAAUUCAAGAACAAACUUUGUAAUACGAGGCAAAAGAUACACAAACAAGCAUGUACAUUACUCAGACAAAGGCUUGGUCCUAUGAGACAAUGGGGCAUGUUCUCAUAAGAUUCCUGUGAACUUUGUAGGCUCUUGGGGCUACAGGAAAACAAUUUUAAUUGAAGAGAGAAAGAAGAAUGAGACCAGGAUGUGGCCAUGGGUGAUCUCAGCUACAGAGCAUCCUGCCCAAGAAGCCUUGGCACAGUCCACGUGAUGUCAUGCCCCAGAGUUAAAGAAACUAGUAACUCACUGCAAUUCUUGAGUUUAUAAGAUGACAGACAAAAAAGAAACAACGUGUGGAGAUGUUGAAACUCCCUCUGCUUAUGAGAUAAAAAGAACUGGCUGAAAUUGGUUGGAACCAAUGUGGCCAAAUAAAGUCUGCACAGAACAAGCUUGCUGAUGUCACAGCCUGAAUUUCAACACAAGUUUCAUACUAACUACCCCCAAAUUUGCACAUGAGACCCAUGAGGAGGUAUGAAGAGAUAACUGUGUGAGGCUGAGGACUUUCCAGACCUCCCUUUUCCUUCUACCAAUUACCUACUAACCCCAGAAUCCACCCCUAAACCUUUUCUAAUAAAAUUACUGCCUUAAAGCCAGCACAGGAAGACAGAUUUGAGCUGUACUUCUGUCUCCUUGUUGGUUGAUGUACAAUAAAAAGCUUUUAUAUUUUCUCAAAAAAAA
rnacentral:lncRNA from 10 species